rnacentral:sRNA from 1 species
AGUCCUCGUUAGGUGAGGCUCCUAUACAAACAUAGGCCACUGCCCAGAAAUAUCGAAAGAUGCCCAUGGGUAGAACAGGAACUGCCGGAUUAAGGCUUUUCUUAAGGUGGCUAAGAACAAUUGUUCUUUACGUUGUAUAGUGCCAAAACUCGACUAGG